rnacentral:rRNA from 1 species
GACAUAGGUCGCAAACGUUAUCCGGAAUUAUUGGGCGUAAAGAGCUCGUAGGCGGCCUGUUGCGUCCGCUGUGAAAGCCCGGGGCUUAACCCCGGGUCUGCAGUGGAUACGGGCAGGCUAGAGGUAGGUAGGGGAGAAUGGAAUUCCCGGUGUAGCGGUGAAAUGCGCAGAUAUCGGGAGGAACACCGGUGGCGAAGGCGGUUCUCUGGGCCUUACCUGACGCUGAGGAGCGAAAGCGUGGGGAGCGAACAGG